rnacentral:lncRNA from 1 species
AAUUUAAAAUUCAAAUUUAAAAUUUGAAUUGCAAUUCAAAACUUUAAUUCAGCUUUAAAUUCAAAUUUAAAAUUCUAAUUUUUCGUCAGUUUAAAAUUUUAAUUUUAAUAUUAUUUUUGAAUUUAAAUUUAAAAUUUUGUUUUUAGGGACUAAAGUGAAAAGGUGCAAAGUUUAGGGACCAAAAUUAACAUACAAAAGGAUGCCAAAUAGUUGCUGACAUAGCGAUUCCGUUAAUUUUAAACGUUUUUUUAACGGUUUGGACGUAAUUAUAAUAAAAUCAAUAGAUUAUGGACUCAAUUGCAAAAAAAAAAAAAAAGUUGGGCACCCAAGUGAAAAUUGGUGCAAAGGUUUGGGACCACUAGUGUAAUUAACCCGCAUUUAAAAACAUCUAGAAAUCAAAUUUUAUAAUUUUUGACAUUAUUUAUUUUACGAUCAAAAGAUCUCAAAAUUAAUAAUUUUUAACGGCCGAUAUGAGAUACUUGCUAGUUUAAUAGUGCAAAAAAAUCGAAAUCGGUUAAAUUUUUGAUAGAAAAUUCUAUCACUAUCUAGAUAAAAAUCAAUAUCUCUAAUCUUAAAUUGAAGAAUCCGAUCAUCCAUUUUUAGGACGCCGUUCGAUUUUGACCAUUCAUUUUAUGCCCGCUUGAUUGAUUUUAUUAUGACUUCAAAAAAUUACGAAAUUUAUUUUUUAGAAGUUUUAAAUACUCUAAAUCUUAUUUAACUGAGUGGAUCGUCGAAUCGAAAACUCUUCCAUCGAAAACAACUUAUGAGUACGAAGGGCUCUAUACUCAUAAGAGUAUAGUAGCCCUUCUCUCUCUCUCUCUCUGUACAUAUGUAUACAAAUCUAAUCUAUAUUUAAAUCUUAAUUUAUUUUCACCCUACCUUCUACUCCCCUAUCCUAUGUUAGUUCCUACACAUCCACUCUCCUACCCCUAUGUUA